UACUUAUAUCAGUACACUCUUAACAACCUAAGCAUUACGAAACUUAUAUUCAAUCAAAUAAUCCUCAUGUGGCAAAUUCGACACUCUCAAUGACCUCCAUACCGAAACUCCUCGAUGUCACAUGAUGAAGAAUUGACCCAGCUAUCCCUUUUCCCCCUUCUUCUAUGGUGAAGUGCACGUCUUCACUCCUGAGGAUAUUUMUAUUUGUGGGUUCUUAGCCAGACGCGAUCAGAGCUUGUAGCAGCACAACCAAAGGGGAGGAGAAUGGGCCUGCCAAGAAAACAAAAUAGCCUUCCAAGUGGAAAGUAGAGAUUCGGAAGAGAAGGAUGCAGGGUAAAUCCUACUUUGACAGGGAAAAGAUGAUUGAGUUGACUAUGGCAAUUCAUAUCUGCACUGUUUGAUUAUUUAUUACAUGAUUCUUACCAGAAUACUUUUAUUCCAUGCUGAAAUGUCUGAUUUGCUUACAUGAUUCUUACCAGAAUACUUUUAUUCCAUGCUGAAAUGUCUGAUUUGCAUACUAGUAACAGGAUUAAUAGUGAAAUUUCGAUAUACAUUGUUUGACAACUUACCUGAUCCUACUUGAUAUUUCAUUCUGAGUAAAAAAUUAAACAUCACACUUUGUGUAAAUAUUUUUAGUACGCAUUCACGAUCACAUUUACUUGAAAUUAUAUUGUGAAAUAAAUGUUAAUUAAUGCUA